UCCAUCGGCCAUGUUUCUCCUUUAUUUCAUAAUUGAAAUCCCCAAAUUAUCAAAGCAGCACCUCUCUCCCUCUCCAAAUCUCACGUCUCUCUCAUUUACUUCUCAAAAUUCCCAAAACAGAACUCCAAUUUUCUUCCUAAAUCAGAGACUCUCCGUCUCUUCCUCUAACUCUCUCACGCCUACUCUCCAUUUCGAUCCUGCAACAGUUGCCACCGUCGUCAUCGGUCCCGAUCCAGCCGCCACAGCCCGCUGUCGCCGCCGUCCGCCUCUGCCUCUGAAUCUAUAAACGAUUGUCAAACGAUUUGAUUCGAAGGGCUAAAGUACUUCAUCGGGAAUUAAAGAUUGGAGCUUGAACGCAUAAAAGGUCUCUAAAAAGUUUCAAAGUGUUGUAUGAAAUUCAUUUGAGUGAAUUACCGUGAAUCAUGAAAAUAUGCAGCAGGAAUUUCAUAUGUAAUUGGGAGGGAUAUACCUUUUUGGAAGGGAGAGAUUUUGCAAUUACAGGAAGGAAUGAAACUCACGGCUUUCUCUACUCCCUUUGUUAUCUCAGAAUUUGGAGGAGUAAAGAUUGUGGAACGGUCUGGGUGUAUAUAUAUAUUACUAUGGAUAUGUGUCUUUAAAGAUUGGAUUUGGUUUGUUGGAGAGAUUUUAGGGAGUGGAGAUAUGAGGAAAUCGUUUGGUGAUGGGGUUUGGAGAAAUAUAUUUGAUCAAGUCAACUAGGAAAAGAUUUAACUAAAUUAGUUUGGUUUUUAUUAUAUUAAUUUUUUUUCCUCUCCUUUAUUUUUCGGGGUGUUACAUCCUAUUUGUGCGAUACUGCUUAAAUAAUACUAAAUCGGGUUAAAAGUGGAUUGUAGAGUUUUUCGUAUACAAGCAAGAUUUUAUUCGCGCGAACUUGCUUGAAACAUGCUUUUCAGUAUACCAAACCUAACACGCACAUCCCUGGAAUUCCCUUAUCUCAUAUAUUUAUCUCUGUGUUUUAUCUGCAAAAGUUGCUUACUUCCACUUUUAAAAGUUUUUAUUUUCAAAAAUCCAAUUUUCUCUCGAUUUUCCAAAUAGUGAAAGAAGCUUAGUAGAAGAUAGACUGUCUGUGUCUGUUUUCCAUGUGUUCGAUAUUCGGUACUGACCAUUAGCUAUACUAUUUUAACCCUGUAUACUUGCAGGUAUUUUUAGUGCUAAUAAAAAGUGUGAUGGGGUUGUCAGUGGAAGCAUGAAUUAAUCAGAGAAAUAGAUCGCACAAUUAUCAUAUGUAUCAUGCUCAUAACUUGAAUUAAAACAUAUUUUUGAUUAAUUGAAACCUAAAACAUGUUUUUCUACGGAACAGAAGUUGUAACUUCUUGAUUCUCCAAAGAAUCGCGGAUGGCUUGCUACUUCUCCACGUGUCGAUCUUCAAUACUCGACCACGAAUCUUCUGACUGGUUCCCGAACCGUAUUCCGAUAUCAGUGUGGGCUGAUCUCACCAGAACACUAGGACUCGAAUAAAGAAGACAGAAAUUCUCACAGAGGAGAGCUGAAAAAAUCGUCCACUUCUUGAUGCAGGGGGGACGAAAAUUUCAAUAAAAUAUUAUAUAUUUUUGUCUC